AAGUCUAUAUCGAUCUGAUCGGCGCGCGGCAGUCGCAGCUUAUUCUGUCGGAGACGCGCCAGUCAUUCAGCACGGGACAGACGGAUGCGCCGCGCCGGCAGCGCGAGGUGCCGCUUGCGCCGCGGAUCACAGNNNCGCAGCCUUCGUCGCGACGCUGGGCGGCACGCCGGUCUGGAACGAAUUUUCCAAGGAAUCCUGAAACGGCGUGAAUGUGCGCCGCCAAGCCUUAGCUCGGUUCAAGCCUUAG
rnacentral:misc_RNA from 1 species